rnacentral:rRNA from 1 species
AGGACGAACGCUGGCGGCGUGCCUAACACAUGCAAGUCGAACGGGGAUUUGUUUCGGCAGAAUCCUAGUGGCGAACGGGUGAGUAACGCGUAGGCAACCUGCCCUCCGGCCGGGGACAACACUCCGAAAGGGGUGCUAAUACCGGAUACGAAGUCUGUGCCGCAUGGUACGGAUUUGAAAGAUGGCCUCUAUUUAUAAGCUAUCGCCGGGGGAUGGGCCUGCGUCCGAUUAGCUGGUUGGUGGGGUAACGGCCUACCAAGGCGACGAUCGGUAGCCGGUCUGAGAGGAUGAACGGCCACAUUGGGACUGAGACACGGCCCAGACUCCUACGGGAGGCAGCAGUGGGGAAUCUUCCGCAAUGGGCGCAAGCCUGACGGAGCAACGCCGCGUGAGUGAGGAAGUUCUUCGGAACGUAAAGCUCUGUUGUUCCUGACGAACCUCCCUUCUAUCAACAACGGAAGGGACUGACGGUAGGGAACGAGGAAGCCACGGCUAACUACGUGCCAGCCGCCGC